UACGUAGGGUGCAAGCGUUGUCCGGAAUUAUUGGGCGUAAAGAGCUCGUAGGCGGUCUGUCGCGUCGGAUGUGAAAAUCCAGGGCUCAACCCUGGACCUGCAUUCGAUACGGGCAGACUAGAGUUCGGUAGGGGAGACUGGAAUUCCCGGUGUAGUGGUGAAAUGCGUAGAGAUCGGGAGGAACACCUGUGGCGAAGGCGGCCCCCUGGGCCGGCCCUGACACUGAGACGCGAAGGCGUGGGGAGCGAACGGG
rnacentral:rRNA from 1 species